rnacentral:lncRNA from 1 species
GGCUCUCCAGAUAGCACUUCUUCUGUCAAUUGGAUGGGUGCUUCUUUGAUUGAACUAAAGCCUCAACCUCUAACAUGGCACAAGGUAUGAAAAUGUGUUCGCCUGAAAGAAAAAUGCGAACUUGGUUAUUCAGACAAAACCUACUGUUGGAUAGUUUGGUAUUAACAUAGUUGAAUUUUGCAGGCUGAGUUCGAUGCUCCAGAAGGAGAUGAACCAUUGGCACUGGACCUGCAAUCUAUGGGAAAAGGUCAAGUAUGGAUUAAUGGUCAAAGUAUUGGAAGAUAUUGGACUGCAUACGCAGCUGGUAAUUGCAAUGAAUGCAAUUAUGCUGGCGCUUUUCGUCCUCCUAAGUGUCAGCAAGGUUGCGGUCAACCAACACAACGAUGGUAACCCCCUCAUAUUCUGCUCUUUGUUUUACUCUUCUGAGAGGAUUCUUAAAGAACAAAAUGGAAGAGUACAGGUUUCAUUCCGGGGAUCUAAAAUGUUAAAUUUCAGGUAUCAUGUACCUAGAUCCUGGUUAAAGCCAAGACAGAAUUCAUUGGUACUUUUUGAAGAACUGGGGGGUAAUCCCGCUGGAAUUGCAAUAGUGAAAAGAUCAGUGUCCAGCAUCUGUGCUGAUGUCACUGAGUUUCAUCCCUACAUUAAAAAUUGGCAAAUCGAGAGCUAUGGCAAAGCAGAGGAUUUUCACAAACCAAAAGUUCACCUUCGUUGUGGUGCUGGUCAGUCAAUUACUUCCAUCAAAUUUGCAAGCUUCGGAACACCAACAGGAACUUGUGGAAACUUCCAUCAAGGAACUUGCCAUGCUUAUACCUCCUACGCCAUUUUAGAGAAGGUAUAAAAAAAUUUCAUAUUAAUCAACCAAACAGUCCUUCGUGUGUUCUCAUUAUAUCGUGAUAAAUUUUUAUUGGCAUCUCAUUACCUUUAUAAUCCUCUCUCAGAUGUGCCUAGGAAAGGAGAGAUGUGCAGUGCCAAUAUCAGAUACCGUCUUUGGACUAGAUCCAUGUCCAAAUGUGUUAAAGAGGUUAUCC